CCUCUUUCUUGCAUAGAUAAUAUUUUGAAGAAAUACAUUGAGAGAGAUGGAAUUUUUGCCUAUAAGGUUUAUAAGAUACCGAAACUCUGAUACUGCCCUUGAAUUAAAAAAUGUCAAACUUUAAACCAGAGGUCACCACAUUGCUGGAUCCAGAGUGACUUUGCAUAACCUCAGAAGAGGUCAGCUCCCCUGGUUCUUAGGCCUUUGGACUCAGACUAGAAUUGCACUGCAGGCUUUCCUGGGUCUGUAGCUUGCUGAUGACAGAUUGUGGGACUUCUCAGCCUUCAUAAUCAUGGAUCCACUUGUGUGUGGUUUUGCACCUACAUGCCAUCCUGACCCCGAAAUCAGAAAAGAAGAGAGACGAUAUAAAGGAUAUUUGUAUCAAAUCACUGGAGUGCCUCAGGGCAUGAGAAAGUUUUUGUGCUGAUUCAUUGUUACUUUAAAAAAUGCCUCAUUAUUGCAGCAAAUGCCACAUCUGAGCUCUUUCUUGUAUUAAAGAUGCAGAACACUUUCUUGAAGAAAUACAAAGAAAUCUUGUGCA
ensembl:lncRNA